rnacentral:rRNA from 1 species
UGUCUUUUUGAAAUUAAUAUAAAGUUUAAUCUGCCCACUGAUUUUAUAAUUGAAGGGCUGCAGUAUAUUGACUGUACAAAGGUAGCAUAAUCAUUAGUCAUUUAAUUGAUGACUUGUAUGAAGGAUUGGAUGAAAUAUAAUCUGUCUCUUAAUUAUUUAUAAAAAUUAAUUUUUUAAUUAAAAAGUUAAAAUGAUUUAAAAAGACGAGAAGACCCUAUAGAGUUUUAUAGAUAAAUUAAUUAAAAAUAUUUAGUAAUAUAAAAUUAAAAUUAAAUUAUUUAUUUUAUUGGGGUGAUAGAAAAAUAAAUAAAACUUUUUUUAUAUAUUAACAUUUAUAAGUGAUUAAAUGAUCCAAUAUUAUUGAUUAUAAGAAAAAAUUACCUUAGGGAUAACAGCGUAAUUUUUUUUUUUAGUUCAUAUAAGAAAAAGAGUUUGCGACCUCGAUGUUGGAUUAAGAUAAAAUUUAAAUGCAGAAG